AUUGAACGCUAGCGGGAUGCUUUACACAUGCAAGUCGAACGGCAGCGCGGACUUCGGUCUGGCGGCGAGUGGCGAACGGGUGAGUAAUGUAUCGGAACGUGCCCAGUAUCGGGGGAUAACUACGCGAAAGCGUAGCUAAUACCGCAUACGCCCUACUGGGGAAAGCAGGGGAUCGUAAGACCUUGCACUAUUGGAGCGGCCGAUAUCGGAUUAGCUAGUUGGUGAGGUAACGGCUCACCAAGGCGACGAUCCGUAGCUGGUUUGAGAGGACGACCAGCCACACUGGGACUGAGACACGGCCCAGACUCCUACGGGAGGCAGCAGUGGGGAAUUUUGGACAAUGGGGGAAACCCUGAUCCAGCAAUCCCGCGUGAGCGAUGAAGGCCUUCGGGUUGUAAAGCACUUUUGGCAGGAAAGAAACGUCGCGGGCUAAUACCCCGUGGAACUGACGGUACCUGAAGAAUAAGCACCGGCUAACUACGUG
rnacentral:rRNA from 1 species